AUUGAACGCUGGCGGCAUGCUUUUACACAUGCAAGUCGGACGGCAGCACAGAGAAGCUUGCUUCUUGGGUGGCGAGUGGCGAACGGGUGAGUAACAUAUCGGAACGUACCGAGUAAUGGGGGAUAACUAAUCGAAAGAUUAGCUAAUACCGCAUAUUCUCUGAGGAGGAAAGCAGGGGACCUUCGGGCCUUGCGUUAUUCGAGCGGCCGAUAUCUGAUUAGCUAGUUGGUGGGGUAAAGGCCUACCAAGGCGACGAUCAGUAGCGGGUCUGAGGGGAUGAUCCGCCACACUGGGACUGAGACACGGCCCAGACUCCUACGGGAGGCAGCAGUGGGGAAUUUUGGACAAUGGGCGCAAGCCUGAUCCAGCCAUGCCGCGUGUCUGAAGAAGGCCUUCGGGUUGUAAAGGACUUUUGUCAGGGAAGAAAAGGCUGUUGCUAAUAUCGACAGCUGAUGACGGUACCUGAAGAAUAAGCACCGGCUAACUACGUG
rnacentral:rRNA from 1 species